ACAACGUCGAAAGCAGCCGUUGGGAGCCCAGGAGGCGGGGCGCCUGUGGGAGCCGUGGAGGGAACUUUCCCAGUCCCCGAGGCGGAUCCGGUGUUGCAUCCUUGGAGCGAGCUGAGAGCUCGAGUACAGAACCUGCUAAGGCCAUCAAACCUAUUGAUCGGAAGUCAGUCCAUCAGAUUUGCUCUGGGCCGGUGGUACCGAGUCUAAGCACUGCGGUGAAGGAGUUAGUAGAAAACAGUCUGGAUGCUGGUGCCACUAAUAUUGAUCUAAAGCUUAAGGACUAUGGAGUGGAUCUCAUUGAAGUUUCAGGCAAUGGAUGUGGGGUAGAAGAAGAAAACUUCGAAGGCUUAAAUGCCAGACCUUAGAUUUUAUGAUGACUCCUCAACCGUUUAGAUCUCGGUUAUCUCAGAGGGAUCAUCAGCUUUUUAAGAAAAUUUUGAGAGAAAAGCAAGUGAAGAAAAGAGUAGUCAGUGCCCAACAUCACGGAUCUCUCACUGAACACACCAUGCCUGGUAUUCUCUCACAGUGAUGUCACCAUUUCUACCUGCCAUGUAUCGGCGAAGGUUGGGACUCGACUGGUGUUUGAUCACUAUGGGAAAAUCAUCCAGAAAACCCCCUACCCCCACCCCAGAGGGAUGACAGUCAGUGUGAAGCAGUUAUUUUCUACGCUACCUGUGCACCAUAAAGAAUUUCAAAGGAAUAUUAAGAAGGUACAGUAAAUUAAUCCUGGUUUUCAAGAAUAUUGGUUAAUGCACAUGAGCAAAAGAUUUACUAAAGAUGUUUAUUCUUCAGUUGAUUCCCUUCCCCUAAUUUAUUGAGAAAUGCUUUAUUUGCAUUUCUCAUUAAAGACUUAACUUCAGAA
rnacentral:lncRNA from 1 species